rnacentral:rRNA from 1 species
GACGGUGGCCAUAACGCGUUGGUAAAAAGCACUCUUUCCCCUUAGACCACGAAAGUUAAGCAACGUUAAGCCAAUUGAGUCAUUUGAUGAGUGGUGGACUGGAAAAACUAGGUUUCCAUGGCAU